rnacentral:rRNA from 1 species
GUUUUAAGUACGUAUUAAUUAUGAUAAUAUGUAUAGUAGUCUUGACCAAUUACGUGCCAGCAGUCGCGGUAAUACGUAAGAGACGAGCAUUAUUCAUAUUAAAUAGGUUUAAAGGGUACCCAGACGGUCAAAAUACCUUAACUAAAAGGAGUACUUGACUAGAGUUUUAUGUGAGAAGACCGUACUUGAGGUGGAGAGAUUAUAUUCUGUGAUACCAAGGGGACUGAUAAAGGCGAAAGCUGUCUUUUAUGUAAUAACUGACGUUGGAGGACGAAGGCAUAGAACACGAACAGGAUUUGACACCCUAGUAGUCUUUGCAGACAAUGAUGAAUGCCAUGGACUAGUAGCUAAAAUAGGAACUCGUAUCCUAUAAGGCAACACUUUAAAGUGUAGCACAAUUUAGGAUGCGAGUGUAGUUUAAGCAGAAUUAGUCUAUAAAUGAAAAUGAAAGCAUUUCACCUCAAGAGUAAUGUGGCAACGC